GCUUCAAUUAUAUUAUUUGAGGUAUUACCUGCUCAAUGCAAAAGUAAAUAGCCGCAGUAUUUUGACUGUGCAAAGGUAGCAUAAUAAAUUGGCCUUUAAUUGAGGUCUGGAAUGAAUGGUUUGACAAGAAUUUGACUGUCUUUAUUUAAUUCUAUUUUUUGAAAUUAAAUUGUUUGUAAAAAUGCACACAUUAAAGAGAGGGACGAAAAGACCCUAUAGAUCUUGAAAUACUUUAUUUAUUUAUUUAAAUAGGUAGGUUUUUUUAUUUGGGGAAAAUCUUGAAUUAUAUAAAUUUUCGGUUAAUUUUUAAAAACUUAAGGAUUGAUUUUUGAUCCAUAAUAUGUGAAAAAAUGAAAAAGUUACCUUAGGGAUAACAGGACAAUGAUUUCUUAAAAGGCCUUAUUUUAAGAAGCGUUUGUUACCUCGAUGUUGAAUUAAGUUAUCUAAUUAGAGAAGAAAUUUUUAUAGUUGGUCUGUUCGACCAUUAAAAAC
rnacentral:rRNA from 1 species